UACGUAGGGUGCAAGCGUUAAUCGGAAUUACUGGGCGUAAAGCGUACGCAGGCGGCUAUGUAAGACAGGUGUGAAAUCCCCGGGCCUAACCUGGGAACUGCAUUUGUGACUGCAUAGCUAGAGUCUGUCAGAGGGGGGUGGAAUUCCACGUGUAGCAGUGAAAUGCGUAGAGAUGUGGAGGAACACCGAUGGCGAAGGCAGCCCCCUGGGAUAAGACUGACGCUCAUGUACGAAAGCGUGGGGAG
rnacentral:rRNA from 1 species